UCCAAUCCGUAUUCCUCAGAUGAGAUGGAGAGAGUCCUCUCUCCUCCCCACCUCUCUCUAUCUCUCUCUCUCUCUCUCUCUCUCUCACGGGGAGCGUUUCUCUCCGGGAAAAGAGGCCACCUCGCCUGUACUAUUUAUGCAUCCUUCUCUCUCUUUCUCUCUCGCUCCCGCAACUGCAACGCUCAACGCCAUUUCCUUCCUCUCUCAACGCCCCGUCGAUGGACCGUUGCGAUCGUCCCUCCCACCGACCGAUGCGUUUCCUCCCGACCAUGCCGCAGAAGCCCAGCUCCUCAAUCCUCUGUCCCUUGGCUCCUCCCCGAUGAAGGUGAUUGUCCUUUCAUCCCGCUCGACUCUGCGUUCAGUUCCUGCUUGAUUCUCGUCGGUGAUUACUUUCUAUUUGUUUCCUGAUUGUCUCGGAUGACGUUUUCGAUUGAUUGAUUCUGCUGUAGCUCCUUGUCGUCCCUCUAUCUUCCCCCGGACUCUCAAUUGCAUGUCUCUGACAUUAUAUAGCUCAAUAGCUCAAAUCGGUGUUCUCUUCUGUAAUCUAGAAUUAUGCUUCGAUCAGUGCUCGGGCGAGUAGCUCUUCUUUGCUGUUCUCUGCAGCUUUUGGAUUCUAUCUGAUGGAUUGAUUCUGCUUUAUCUGGAUGUGAUAUUUGGUUUACUAUUUAGCUUAAUCUGAUCGGCAGCUCCUCUGUUCCAUGAUCUACAAUUUUGGUUUUCGCUGAUUGAUUGACCCUGCUUUUAGCUUCUUAUUACAUUCAAUCUCUUUCUUCUAGAUUGUACUGGGUGGAUUCUGCUGUAGAGUUUAUCCUGAUUGAGUUGGGUGUGCUGCUUAUUCUAGUAGGCCACUUCUCUAUGAUCUAGAGUUUCAUUGCUGAUGAUUCGGCUUAUUACAGUUGCUGGCUUGGUGCAUUAACGGCUUAUUCCUGAUUGUUAUGCUCCUGUUUGCUGAUCUGGAAUUACGUUUUCUCAUGACUUGCCUCGUAAUCAUGUUGCGAUAUCAUCCUAUUUCUAGAUGCUGGAUUCUUCUCUCGGCGAACUGGAUGUUUGCUUUAAGUAAAUUAAUUUUGCUUGACUAUAGUUCACAAUCUCUCUGCUCUCUGACUUUGAAUUUUGUUUUUGUUGAUUCGACGGCUCCUUUAAUUGUGUAUGAUGGUUAAUGCUUCUCGUUGAUCAAUUUUCUGUCAAAUGCGAUGCCUGUUGGAGCUCAAAAAACUUGUUUUCAGAUUGGACCUUGAAAUGAGGGAGCUGAUAUUUUAAUGCAUUAUAGAUGUUCAAAUAUGGUUAGACCUCUCAUAUCUGCACUGUCAGUGUAGAAUUAACUUGAAAAUUUCGCAAGUAUCCACUGUAUACUAAAAAUGCUCUUUUCGUAUUAUAUUCAUUCUCGAUAGCUAUAAGGUGCUUAUAUAACAAUAGUAAAUGGAUCUUCACUGCAUACAUAUGAAAGCUUAAGUUUCCACAAGUUUUCUUUGGUCAUUGACCCUUCUCAAAUCUGCAGGAUCCAUUUAAUUUCUUUCUCAUGUUUAAAUUUGCACUUAGAGCAUAGAUAAUUUCUCAAAUGGAUGUUCAAUUUCUUAUUAAGUACCUUAUACUGCUUGACUAAGGUUAUAAAAAAUGGGGUAUAAAAUCUGUUUUUAGAGGCUUUUUUUCUUUUGUUUUUUCCAUCAAAAAGUUGUUAAAAUUUGUCUUCCAGAUAACUACAAUCUGAUGCUGUAAAGUAAUGACAUGAACAGUAAGUGGAUUUGCACUCCAUUAUAAUGUAGGGUAAAGGGCUUGUGGGAGGUUGACGAUGCUAUAUCUUGGAUAAGAUUAUUCUCACUGACUAGUCUACAGAGUCGAUUUAAACUUACCUUUCAUAUUAUGGACCUUUUAAUAAGUUAUAUCUUGCCAUUGGAUUUCCAUCACAAUAUUCCUAAAAGGACUAUGAGACAGAUGAUAUUCUUAUUAAACACCAACUAACCAAGAGGGUUUCUGGUGGCCUGAUGCCUGUCGUCUGGACUGAUUCUGGAACAAAACCAAUAAAGCAUUUGGAUUGUUUCAAAUCAGGAUCAUGGAGCUGGACCAAAGGCUGCUUCUUUAUGUAUACAUGCAUAAUAUGGCUGUGGCCUCCACGCAGCCCUGCUGAAUUUCUAAGAAAGCAUGAUCUGAUGAUCAGGCAAUCAAUUGCUGCCACCCCUGUCCUGACUGCUACAGUUUCAUGGAAGCCUAUAAGUCAGACCUAUAUCGUGUUUCUUUUUUAGCCUGCAGAUCUAUAUCGCGUUGAUCGUUCAUUUCUUAACAUAGAUCUAUUUAUAUUCAUUUAUUUAUCAUGAUACAUUGGAGAUUCUCAGAACUUUGCUACUGCAUAUAAGCACGCGUUAUUGCCCAACAUAGUUUGAACAGGAGCUGGAGAUCAAAUUUUCAAGUUAGUGGAUUGAUUGUUUCUCACAGAAUGGCCAGCUUCAGGUGGAAGUUCCAUCUUACAGGAGGGAUACAGAAAGGAUGAGGAACAGUGUUUGAGUCCGAACUGAUAAUUAUAGCGCAACAAAACAGAUUGAAGUCCAAAGAUUCCGGUACCAAGGUGACAGAGAAAAUGCAAUGUACUACAACUACAACUACAAAAUAAAAGAAUCUUUUUACAAGGAAAUUACUAUCGCUCCAUCAGGUUUUCUGAUGAUCGCCCAUCCUCAGAGCUGUUCCAUUAGCUGCCCUCCUGCAUAUCCCAGCCCUCCAUCUGCAUUUGGACAAGGAUUCAACAGUUCUAAGUGAGGUUACUGUGAUUGAGCAUAAAUCUGAGGUUGCGGCAAUUGAGUUGAUACAGUUACAGAACGAACAGAUCUAAGAGCCGGCUUUAUCAAAUUAUCAGCACGGACCAACAAUCAUCAAUGUACAACCAAGCGCAGCAAAGUAUGCUAUGUUUCAGAUGCAUCUAUUACCACUUUCACCAUCAGAUGCAUCUCCGAGCCGUGCAAUUGCAUCAAUGAGGGCUUGUUCAUGCUCCUGCACAUUGAGAACAAAGGUUAACCACAAAUUCCAGAUCGUUGAGAUGCAAAUUGAACAGGAGCACCAAAGGCCUAUAUCUCACUUUAAGCAUCUUCUUCGCCUUCGCGAUCUCCAUAAGGUUGGGAUUGCUCGCAUCAAAGACCCUCUCCACCUGACCAUUCCAACAAAGAAACAUGCUGUCCCUGUAAAUGAUGUGUGUAUAUGCAACAUAUUCAUGCUUUGUAUCUAUAUGCAACAUAUUCAAAACACAAACCUCCUUCACUAAUGAAUCUGUGUUGAAAAGUUCGAUAUCA